GGAAUAUUGGGUAAUGGGCGCAAGCCUGACCCAGCGACGCCGCGUGGGGGAAGAAGUCUUUCGGGAUGUAAACCCUUGUUGUACGGGACGAAACGAAUGACGGUACCGUACGAGGAAGCCCCGGCAAACUACGUGCCAGCAGCCGCGGUAAUACGUAGGGGGCGAGCGUUGUCCGGAAUUACUGGGCGUAAAGCGCACGUAGGCGGGCUGUCAAGUCGGCCGUGAAAGGCACUGGCUCAACCGGUGUUUGUCGGUCGAUACUGGCGGUCUGGAGUAUGGGAGAGGGAACUGGAAUUCACGGUGUAGCGGUGAAAUGCGUAGAUAUCGGGAGGAACACCAGUGGCGAAGGCGGGUUCCUGGCCCAUUACUGACGCUGAGGUGCGAAAGCCGGGGGAGCGAACGG
rnacentral:rRNA from 1 species